rnacentral:rRNA from 1 species
GACAGGUGGUGCAUGGUUGUCGUCAGCUCGUGUCGUGAGAUGUUGGGUUAAGUCCCGCAACGAGCGCAACCCUUAUUGUUAGUUGCCAUCAUUUAGUUGGGCACUCUAGCGAGACUGCCGGUGACAAACCGGAGGAAGGUGGGGAUGACGUCAAAUCAUCAUGCCCCUUAUGACCUGGGCUACACACGUGCUACAAUGGGAAGUACAACGAGUCGCUAGACCGCGAGGUCAUGCAAAUCUCUUAAAGCUUCUCUCAGUUCGGAUUGCAGGCUGCAACUCGCCUGCAUGAAGCCGGAAUCGCUAGUAAUCGCGGAUCAGCACGCCGCGGUGAAUACGUUCCCGGGCCUUGUACACACCGCCCGUCACACCACGAGAGUUUGUAACACCCGAAGUCGGUGAGGUAACCUUUUUGGAGCCAGCCGCCUAAGGUGGGAUAGAUGAUUGGGGUGAAGUCGUAACAAGGUAGCCGUAUCGGAAGGUGCGGCUGGAUCACCUCCUUU